rnacentral:lncRNA from 1 species
CCGCGGACUUAGGUUGUCGGGUGGCCCUUCGGGCCGCAUAACGCCUUUCGUAUACGGCAUAUGAUGAUAAAAAUUUCUGCAAGCUGGUCCGGCUUCGGGAACUCUAUUUCUGUUUUCGGGAGUUUCGGUACGACCCGAACAUCCCGAAGCGUUUGCCAAUGUCUAGUCCCAACUUGGAUCGAAGCCCAAUCCCUUUCACUAUGACAUAUACGUAACCAGUUCGUUGAUAGGAAGGAAGUUGCGGAUGUGCCGGGCAACCUAGAUCCAAGCCGUACGAUUGGAUUCGUG